GCAGUAGCCGCGGGAAUACAGAGGGUGCAAGCGUUAAUCGGAGUUACUGGGCGUAAAGGGCGCGUAGGCGGUUAUUUAAGUGAGUUGUGAAAUCCCUGGGCUUAACCUAGGAACUGCAACUUAUACUGGAUAGCUGGAGUACUGUAGAGGGUAGUGGAAUUUCCGGUGUAGCGGUGAAAUGCGUAGAGAUCGGAAGGAACACCAGUGGCGAAGGCGGCUACCUGGACAGAUACUGACGCUGAGGCGCGAGAGCGUGGGGAGCAAACAGGAUUAGAUACCCCCGUAGUCCCUGUCUCUUAUAA
rnacentral:rRNA from 1 species